rnacentral:rRNA from 1 species
CCUACGGGUGGCUGCAGUGGGGAAUAUUGGACAAUGGGCGAAAGCCUGAUCCAGCCAUGCCGCGUGUGUGAAGAAGGCCUUCGGGUUGUAAAGCACUUUCAGUGGGGAAGAAAGCCUUGGGGCUAAUACCCUCGAGGAAGGACAUCACCCACAGAAGAAGCACCGGCUAACUCCGUGCCAGCAGCCGCGGUAAUACGGAGGGUGCGAGCGUUAAUCGGAAUUACUGGGCGUAAAGCGCGCGUAGGCGGUCUGAUAAGCCGGUUGGGAAAGCCCCGGGCUCAACCUGGGAACGGCAUCCGGAACUGUCAGGCUAGAGUGCAGGAGAGGAAGGUAGAAUUCCCGGUGUAGCGGUGAAAUGCGUAGAGAUCGGGAGGAAUACCAGUGGCGAAGGCGGCCUUCUGGACUGACACUGACGCUGAGGUGCGAAAGCGUGGGUAGCAAACAGGAUUAGAUACCCUAGUAGUC